GGCAGGCUGUCUGAUAUGUAUUAUUCCGCAUGGUCUAUCCGAGCCAACAUUAAUAUUAUAGGGAGCUGUCACUGUUCAGAUCGUGGUCUGAUUAUAUGGCGCCCACCUUGUCCAAGCGGUUCGAUAUGAAAUGUAAUAAACGGUCAGACGGCUUAACA
rnacentral:other from 1 species